rnacentral:rRNA from 1 species
GUGGGGAAUAUUGCGCAAUGGGGGAAACCCUGACGCAGCAAUACCGCGUGAGUGAAGAAGGUUUUCGGAUCGUAAAACUCUUUUAUUGGGGAAGAAGAAGUGACGGUACCCAAUGAAGAAGUCCCGGCUAACUACGUGCCAGCAGCCGCGGUAAUACGUAGGGGACAAGCGUUGUCCGGAAUCACUGGGCGUAAAGGGCGCGUAGGCGGUUUUAUAAGUCAGAUGUGAAAGGUACCGGCUCAACCGGUGACGUGCAUUUGAAACGGUAAGACUUGAGUACUGGAGAGGAAAGUGGAAUUCCUAGUGUAGCGGUGAAAUGCGUAGAUAUUAGGAGGAACACCGGUGGCGAAGGCGGCUUGCUGGACAGAUACUGACGCUGAGGUGCGAAAGCGUGGGGAGCGAACAGGAUUAGAUACCCUUGUAGUCC